rnacentral:rRNA from 1 species
AUUGAACGCUGGCGGCAUGCUUUACACAUGCAAGUCGAACGGCAGCACGGGUGCUUGCACCUGGUGGCGAGUGGCGAACGGGUGAGUAAUGCAUCGGAACGUGCCCAUGAGUGGGGGAUAGCCCGGCGAAAGCCGGAUUAAUACCGCAUACGCCCUUAGGGGGAAAGCGGGGGAGUCUUCGGACCUCGCGCUAUUGGAGCGGCCGAUGUCGGAUUAGCUAGUAGGUGAGGUAAAGGCUCACCUAGGCGACGAUCCGUAGCUGGUCUGAGAGGAUGAUCAGCCACACUGGGACUGAGACACGGCCCAGACUCCUACGGGAGGCAGCAGUGGGGAAUUUUGGACAAUGGGCGCAAGCCUGAUCCAGCCAUGCCGCGUGAGUGAAGAAGGCCUUCGGGUUGGUAAGACGUCUUUCUAGGUGG